AACCUUAACUGUUUGCCCCUUCUUACAACUACUGUGUCCUCACUGUGAUAUUUUUUUUUUUGGAAGUCAUCAGUGAUAAUUUAGUGAAAAAAAUACAUCCUAAAGAUACAUGACUAAAGGAGAAAGUGGCCACAGUGCAUUGAGGUGCAUAGGAGGGCAUGCUGACCCAUGGAUGUCUGGUAGAUUAUGAAGCAGAACAGGAAGCAAGUGGAGCCAUUGCAGGGUAAAGCCGAUAGAAAUCAUUUGUCCAUGGGAGCCAGCAGCAGGGCCAGCCUCUUAGCAUGCAGGGGAUUUAGAUGCUGCUAGGGUCAGCUCCGUUGCCUUCCAGCUAGACGCUCACUCCUUCAGGUCCUGCUGCCUCUGAAGUACUGCUGCUACAGGGCAGCAAAUGGUAGCUCACUUCCCACAGACUGCUGACGUCUCCUAACUGAAGCUCUGAGCACCUUGGUGUUUCCUCUUCUCUGGGUUUAACAGGCAUAGCCAUACAUACUACACAUACAUCUACGAGUGUGAAACUAUGUGAUGUGACCAGCUAUCUCAAGUUUCUGAGCUGACUUCCUCUCAAUGAUGCACCGUUAGCCUGGAAUUAUAAGCCAAAUAAAACUCUCUCCACAACUGCA